rnacentral:lncRNA from 1 species
GCUGAUGCUCAAAUGUAUGCCUCCUGAUUUCUUUUCUAGGAUUUCUAUCUCCAGAGUUGUCUUCCUUUGGGUUUUCUUUAUAGUUUCUACUUCCAUUUUUUUGAUCUUAGAUGGUUUUGUUCAAUUCCAUCACCUGUUUGGUUGUGUUUUCCUGAAAUUCUUUAAGGGAUUUUUGUGUUUCCUCUUCAAGGACUUUUACCUGUUUAGCAGUGUUUUCCUGUAAUUCUUUGAAGGACUUUUGUGCUUCCUCUUUAAGGGCUUCUACAUGUUUAGCAGUGUUCUCCUAUAUUUCUUUAAGUGAGUUAUUAAUGCCCUUCUUAAAAUCCUGUACCAGCAUCAUGAGAUACGGUUUUAAAUCUGAAUCUUGCUUUCCUGGUGUGUUGGGGUAUCCAGGACUAGCUGUGGUGGGCGUACUCUGUUCUGAUGAUGGUGAGUGGUCUUUGUUUCUGUUAGUAAGAUCUUUAUGUUUGCCUUUUGCCAUCUGGUAAUCUCUAGCUGUCUCUGGCUGGAGCUUGUUCCUCCUGUGAUUCUGUUUGCCUCUGUCAGCACUCCUGGGAGUCCAACUCUUUUCUGAGUCCCAGUGGUCAGAGCACUCUCUGCAGGCAAGCUCUCCUCUUGCAGGGAAUGUGCACAGUGUUUUGGGGUUCUGAUCCACCUCCUGGCUGAAAAUGAAGGCCUGAAGGGACCCUGUCCAAGAAACUCUGUUGCUUCUGUGGCCCACAUGCUUUCCUGCGAGGACUGGUCUCUGAGAGACCCGGGAUACAAGAUGGUGCUCUUACUUGUGUCUCAGGGUUAGAGAUCUCUCUGGAGGCCGACUGUCCUCUGGUGGGUGAGAUGCCCAGAGGUCUGGGUCUCAGCUCUGCCUCCUGGCUGAGGAUGAAGGCCAGAAGGAACCUGUCCAAGAAGCUCUGUUGCUUCUGUGGCCUGCAUGCUCUCGUGUGCAGACUGGUCUCUGAGAGACCCGGGAUACAAGAUGGCACUCUCACCUGAGUCCUGGGGUCAAAGCCCUCUCUGGAGGCCGAUUCUCUUCAGUGAUCCUAAGAUCCUGGGUGUGCUAGGGUGCCUUCGGUAUGGAGAGUCCUCUGGGGACCGUGGGACUGUCUGCCAAGUUCAUGUCCAAGGUGAUGCGGGGCUGACUCCGAUCAGAAUGAGCCCCAGCUGCUGGUCAGGCAGGUUUUCUGUGUCCCUGUUCCUGCUGGCACAGGCACCUCCCAGUAGUUUUGGAACAGAUGAUGUGCUUCACUCACCAGUGAUCCCAAGAUCCUGGGUGUGCUAGUGCACCUGCGGCUGGAGGAUCCUCUCCUGAGAUUUAUUAGUUGGUAAUAUUUCUGUGAUAUUUUGUGGUCAGUUACAUUGUAGUCAAUUUCUUUAAGCUCCCUCCUGUUUGCAUGCUAGAACUGCUAUUUCAGGGUGGAAGGAAGAGGCAAUGUCCUUGACCAGUCACAGUGGCUAAGACUUUUCUGGUGAGGAGGUGCAGGAAGGUCCAGGAAACAAGGACUGGCCCUUAAAUACAGGGUUCUCCUUGCUUACAGGGUUGUCACACACAUCCCCUGACCCCUGCCUCCAGGAGAUUGCAAUUGUCACAAAAUGACAACAGGCAGGAACCAUCAGAGAUUAGAUGAAGUCCAGAGUGUCAGAAGCCUGUUAACUAUCCAAAGCAUUACCCUCUUGUCUUAGUCAAUGUUUCCUGCUUUGAAAAGACACCAUGACCCCAGCCACUUUUAUAAAAGAAAGCUUACAGGUUCAGAAGUUUAGUCCAUUAUCAGCAUGAUGGGGAGCACGGUGGCACAUAGGGAAACAUGGAGCUAGAGAAGAAGCUGAGAGUUCAAUGUCCAGAUCUGAAGGCAGCAGGAAGAGAGCGACACCGGGCCUGGUUUGGGCUUUUAAAAAAUCUCAAAACUUGCUCUCAAGGACACACGUUCUCCAACAAGACCUAAGUGCUGCUUCCUGACGACUAAGCUCUCAGAUACGUGAGCCUAUUAGGGCCACUCACAUUCAAACCACCAUACACCCCCAACCCACUCCCCUAUUCCUACCUCUGAGGCCUGCCCAGCCUCUUGCUGGGGGCUCUUUGUCUGUUCUGAUAAAGUACGUGUUUCUUCUUCUUCCUGUUUGUGGCUGGUGCUUCUCUGAUCCUAUUCAAUAUACAACUUGUAGUGUGUCAGCUGCUUCCAGAAUCUGUGAUGGUUCCCUCGUGUCUGAGAGCCUCAAGUUAUUUCCUGCAGCUCUCUUAUGGCUGCUGCUUUCUGUUUCUGUAUCGGGUCUACAAAGGUUACUUUCUAUCAGGGACUCUAAGCUGCCUAUAUCACAUCUCUGGCUCAGAUUACUAGGUGUCACAGUUCAUCUGUGGCCCCUUCCUCUCUCCGCUGUCACUUCUCUUUUCUGUCUGAGUGUAUCUUCUUUCCUGGACGUACAAUUUUCUGGCCAUUUCAUGGAAUGAACCUGGUGGUACCUCUAGAUGACCACAUUCAGUCAAUGCCCUGUGACAGAAGGCGAGAUAGAGUCUGGACAAAUAGACACAGACAAUUGAGGGUCUACAGGUGGCUGUGAUCAUUUUAGUUUAUACUAUUUUAAGAACCAGUGGCCCUUGUGAUCAAGACCAAUAGCUUUCAGCAAAUCCAGCCACAUCUUUUCUGCUCCGUGAAUAGAACAGAGGAUGGUGGGGAUUCAUAUGUGAUAGUCUACCACAUAUGAACUGUGGUAGACUUCUAGAUCAUGGGGAAGGCUCGGGGCAAUGAGGACCUAGAUCGUGGGAAUUCCAUGAGAGUGUUGACCUCCACCAUCCGUGCUUGCUUUGGCCAUAUGACUGACCCUUGCAUCAGACAGGGACAGAUCUAUGCUGGAAAAACUGAGCAGCACCAUGUCAGAUAAGAAUGUUCCAUGAACUGCAUGUCUUAAUUUUGCAAUUACAUUUAUAGCCUCAUUACAACACAAGCUGCUCUUUGAGAGCAGAGUGUACUCAUCAGAGGGAGUUGUUCCCUUCCAAGUUCUCUGAGUGAGACUGUGGUAGGAAAACCAUGCUGAGAAGCCAGAGCAGGCCUCUCCCCUCUGCCAGGGUUCCAGGCAUGUUCUUCAGAUGCCGAUUUCGAUUUCCAUUCCUUUUAUGCAGGCAGGGUUCUGGAGACAAAAUGUCUAACUGUGAUUCACUUUUGGAAAUUCUCACCUUUUUAAAUUGCUGAUGUGGAUUAUGAAAGUGAAAGAAUGUUGAUGGUAGCCCAGGGCCAAAGAGUCUUUCAAUUAUUCUUCCCUUCUUCCAGCCCUAGCUGGCUGAGGCACAGAAAAAGUCUGCUGUCAGCUCUCUGGAAAUGUGUGCCCCAAAUGAAUAGAUGGUUCUAAGAUGGAUUCUCUGGGACAAGAUCUUGCUCUGCUCUCUAUAAUGGCCAAAGGCUGGAGUUCAUUUGCAGAGGAAAUGUAAAACUAGAGGGUGGUGCAAAGACAAAGCAGUGGACAUCAUGCUCCUGGAUUUGAGAACUAUCUUGAAAUAGAAACCAUAUAGACAUUAAGGAUCUUAAUUUAAAAAAGCAAGGAAGAAGACUGAUCGCUCAGCUUCUCAGUGCCUUAAGGCAUCGUUUAAAACACCUUAAAUGCAUCUCUGUGCAUCCAAAGCACUGAAGCACAAAGGACUUUCCAAGCUAUUACACUAAACAGUCACUUUUCCCUCUGCUCUGGGAACAUGAAACAACACAGACUUGAGUGGAGCUGAGCUCAGGAUCUCUCAGGGGAGGCCAGUGCCGUGCUGAGGAGAGAUUUGACACCUGUACCACGGUGGCUUAGCAUCAUGCAGCCGGAUGAACACUUGGUGUAGGCGUUUGUUAACCAAUGCAGCUCAUAGGUGGAUGUGACACCAGUGUCUGUAGUCCAAGUACCCAGAGGCUGAGGCAGGUGCUCCAUGGCUAAAUACUGAGUUCCAGGACAGCCUGAGAUAAGAAGCAAAAGCCUGAUUUAAACAAACAAAAUCUCCAUCAAGGCUUCCAGUGGUUUCCAGUGAGAAGACAACGCGGGAUCCUUCCAGGAAAACAGGACGUCAGUUCUCCAGUCUAACAUCCAGCAAGUUGAAACUUGUAUUAAACUAGAUUUCUCUUGCUGACACUACCAAAUUUAUAUUUGUUUAUUU